rnacentral:rRNA from 1 species
AGUGAACGCUGGCGGUAGACCUAACACAUGCAAGUCGAACGGCAGCACAGGAGAGCUUGCUCUCUGGGUGGCGAGUGGCGGACGGGUGAGGAAUACAUCGGAAUCUACUUUUUCGUGGGGGAUAGCGUAGGGAAACUUACGCUAAUACCGCAUACGACCUACGGGUGAAAGCAGGGGAUCUUCGGACCUUGCGCGAUUGAAUGAGCCGAUGUCGGAUUAGCUAGUUGGCGGGGUAAAGGCCCACCAAGGCGACGAUCCGUAGCUGGUCUGAGAGGAUGAUCAGCCACACUGGAACUGAGACACGGUCCAGACUCCUACGGGAGGCAGCAGUGGGGAAUAUUGGACAAUGGGCGCAAGCCUGAUCCAGCCAUACCGCGUGGGUGAAGAAGGCCUUCGGGUUGUAAAGCCCUUUUGUUGGGAAAGAAAUCCAGCUGGUUAAUACCCGGUUGGGAUGACGGUACCCAAAGAAUAAGCACCGGCUAACUUCGUGCCAGCCGCCGCAGUAA